rnacentral:lncRNA from 1 species
AUUUUUUAUAAAGAACUCAAAGAUCCUAUGUGCCACCCCAGGUUUGAAGUGGGUGAAAAACGCAAUGAAGAAAUUAGACCAAAUGCAAAAGAAAAAAGGAAAGGUGGAUAAGGUGAAAGGAGGCAAGAAGCCACAUGGCAACUCCAAAGACUCGGCAGCUUCUAACAAAUCAAGCAAAGGUACGGUCCGAAUAGAACAUAGUCCGUUGCUGUUGAUGGAUCUACUUUUCAAACUUUUUUCCAUUCAAACUUUUCACAACAUUCACUACCUGUCAAUAGAGCGCUGCAGUAAUUACAAUUGCAAGGUUACGGGGCUUGGGACUGUAGCCAGACCACUUCAAUGGGCUGAAGUGGUGUGGGUGCCUAAAGUGUCCCUUUUAGGUCUACUGUGUAUCUUCACCCACCAAGCAGGAGAGAGCUUUGACGAUGUAGAUAUUAUUAAGUCGAUUACCAUUUUUUACAGAGCUGCGUCAAUCCAACCACAAUCCCAGACUGUUGGUACUUGCUCCAAGUUUGAGGCAGCCCUGUCAGUUCAGCCACGGUUAAUUUCAAUACAGGGUCAUUUUUAUUCAGACCCUGAACUAACCUAAAAUUAAACGUCACGCCUUUUUAUAUUUGUUUAUUGGCUGACUGUUUUUUGACAGUGCGCAUGCACAUAUUGACACAAACCUCAUGCAAGGGCCUGACCCUACAGAAACCUCUGUCAUUUUAGGUCCAGAGCCCUUUCAUGGUUUCUGUUUUCUGAUAGCUGGUAAACCCGUUAUACUGUUUCUUGUUACUGAUCCAGCUUGGCUUGAUCCUGACAUUGCAACGUCUUGUAUACCUGUCCCCGAUAAUUUCCUGUCUUCAAGAUUCCUGAUUCCAUGUGCUAAGGACCUACUAAAUAGCUUUUUUUGUAUUUUGUACUUUUUAUAAUUUUAAUAUAAUAUAGUAAGUUUGCAAUAUGGUAAAUUGCUUGGCAUAACCUCCCCCAACCAGUAUUUGUAAUCACCAAUUAUGGUUUUUAUACCAGUUUCUUAGCUAUCUUACAUUAGUUGCUGUGAUUUUGUUUUCAUUUUUAUGAAUGAAACUUUAGGUUUUAUUUUUUAAUAUGGCCAAAAUUCUGUCUGCCUAUAUUUUACAUUUUUUGUAUUUUUGGAAUUAAUGGUUUAGAAUGUGCGCAGGACUGUAAGCUCGUUUAACCCCUUAAGGACACAUAACAUGUGUGACAUGUCAUGAUUCCCUUUUAUUCCAGAAGUUUGGUCCUUAAGGGGUUAAGCAGGGCCCUCUUCAACCUAUUAUCCCUGUAGGUUUUUGUAAUUGUCUCAUUUAUUGUUAAAUCUCCCCCUCUGAUAAUAUUGUAAAGUGCUACGGAAUGUGUUGGCGCUAUAUAAAUACCAGUAAUAAAAAUAAUAAUAAUAAGUCUUCUAUUAAUAUGCCCCGUUUUUCUUUUUCCCAGCAGCUCUGUAAGAAAAAAAACGGUUCUUUGUUCUUCACCAUUCCUCGUUAUUCGAUUUGGCACGAACGUCCAUCUGUGAAGAAUUCACUCAGAUGCCAAAGGUUACACAAAAUAUCCCAAUCUCUCAUCAUUUGGGAUUAAUCUGAUAUAAUGGUUUCAUUUUAUCUCUACGUCUUUUCUAAUGGACCUCUCCUCCCUGCUGGGGUUGACUCCUUCAUGUCUGCAGUAUUUGAAAAACAUUAGCACAGAAUAGUCGAUGGCAGAUAGGAACCCAUCGGAUUAUGUAGCCUGCCUAUUCUGAUUUCUUUUGCUUAAUGUAUGCACUCCACCAAAAUACAUUUUUUGCUAAGUAGAUAAAUAUCUCUGUAGAAAAAAUAAUCCUUCUUUAUAGGUAAAUGCAACUGCGGUUUGAUCAGAGGCCAUAUAUAUACAUUAUAUUUGCAGGAAUUUACUGAUGUUUUGUCUAUUGUGAGCUAUCUAACAUUUACUGCAGAUUUUAAAUGCAAAGCAAAACAAUGAUUAUAUGAAUUGAAGAUUUCUUUGUCAUGCACCUAUUUAGUAUUAUUACUCCUUUGUCUGCUGGUACUUAAAAAAAAUGGUAAUGGUGAUAUUUUUACGUUUUAUGUAAAUUUCUUAAUUAUCCACGAUAAUUUAAAGGGACAGUAUAGUCACCAAAACCAAAAAAAAAACCCUGUCCAUGCAGCCUUAGCCACACCCCUUGCAAGGUCUAGCAAGCUAUUAACAGAGCAGUAGAUAGGAAAUUCUAAAUUAAACAGACUGUGCAAUAAAAGGAGUGUACACAUUGGAACUCUCUUUACAGGAAGUGUUUAGGAAGGCUGUGCAAGUCGCAUGCAGGGAGGUGGGACUAGGGCUGUAUAAACAAAGUGAUGUAACUCCUAAAUUGAGCAAUGAGACUGCCGGGGAUAAUCUAUACAAACUGCUUCAUUAAGCUAAAGUUGUUUUGUUGACUAUGGUGUCCCUUUAAGAAUAUCUUCUAUGCUAUGUAUCCUUAGUGUAAAGGACUGUGAUUAGUGUAAUAACAAUAAGCUAACAAACAAUAUAUAAAGUAACAAGAGAAGAAAAACACAAGAAAAAACAAAUAGCUCCCAUUUAAAUGUAGGGUACAAAAAAAGAAAAUAUACCAGAUACAGGGAUUCUCUUCCUUUACCAACGUGUUUCUCCUAUUCCAUGAUUGUAAUUAUCUGACCCUGCUCACGGCAAUGUGAUAAAAUGAUCACGUCUUUAGUCUCUUGCAAUCAAUGAAAAGCUCAGUAAAAAGUGUUUAAAUACAAAUCUGUUUAUAAACAGUAGAUUGUUUCGAUAUUAGAACAAGAUUAAGAUUAACAUAUGUUUAUAAAUUAAUAUGCAUUCAAACUGACACUAAAUCAGCUAUGAAGCCAGUAACAGGCCAGUAACGGACAUUGCACAGUGCUAUAAGCUAAUAUAAAAUUAACAAAUCAGAAAUAUUCCUUUAAGAUCAACUAAUAUCGGACAGAAGCAGCAUUUAUUAAGACAAAAUAUCAGAAAUGCUAAAUAUUUGUAAGCUAGAGAAUUUCCCUAAUUUAACGAAUUAAUUAAUUAAUGUUGGCUACAAUAUGUCUAUUUUUUCAUUUUUUAUUUCACUGUUAUUCCAGUCUGGACAGAUUUAUAUUUUCUGAAAGGACUUCAGAUUGUAUUAAGAGGAUUUUAGGAGGCACUCUUGGAUCACCAUAACCACUACAGCUCAUUGUAGUAGUAGUAGUAGUAGUGGCUAUAUGGUGAGUCUAUGGUUUCUCGCAGCCUCUCUCUGCUGUUCAGGUUCCCUCCUGGAAUUUCCAUGUGUUUAGAUUGUAAGCUCAGUUUGAGCAGGGCUCUCUUCUCCUACACUUCCUCUGUGUCAAACAUGUUUUGUUAGAAUUUACUGUUACCUUUUGUACAGCGCUACACAAUAUGUUGGCACUAUAUAAAUAAUUGUAAUCAAUGAGC